rnacentral:rRNA from 1 species
UGGGGAAUUUUGGACAAUGGGCGAAAGCCUGAUCCAGCAAUGCCGCGUGUGUGAAGAAGGCCUUCGGGUUGUAAAGCACUUUUGUCCGGAAAGAAAUCCUUGGCUCUAAUACAGUCGGGGGGAUGACGGUACCGGAAGAAUAAGCACCGGCUAACUACGUGCCAGCAGCCGCGGUAAUACGUAGGGUGCAAGCGUUAAUCGGAAUUACUGGGCGUAAAGCGUGCGCAGGCGGUUUGCUAAGACCGAUGUGAAAUCCCCGGGCUCAACCUGGGAACUGCAUUGGUGACUGGCAGGCUAGAGUAUGGCAGAGGGGGGUAGAAUUCCACGUGUAGCAGUGAAAUGCGUAGAGAUGUGGAGGAAUACCGAUGGCGAAGGCAGCCCCCUGGGCCAAUACUGACGCUCAUGCACGAAAGCGUGGGGAGCAAACAGGAUUAGAUACCCUGGUAGUCCACGCCCUAAACGAUGUCAACUAGUUGUUGGGGAUUCAUUUCCUUAGUAACGUAGCUAACGCGUGAAGUUGACCGCCUGGGGGAGUACGGUCGCAAGAUUAAAACUUAAAGGAAUUGACGGGGU